AUGACUGCCAUUUAUAAGGCACCAGGCCCUGCGCUCAGGUGGAGUGGGAGUUCCUGUUUAAUCCUUUGUGCCUUUGGCACAAUCCCAUUUUCCAGAAGAAGAAACAGAGGCCCUAAGAACUUGAGAAACUGGCCCCGAGUCUCAACGAGAAAGUAUAUAAGAGAGGUUUCAAAUUCAAGUCACCCAAGUCCCAAACUCAUGCCCUCUGCGUGCCCAGGAGCCACCCUGAAAUCUACCCCUUCUUUAAAAAUUUUAUUUAUUUACUUAGCUGUGUUGGAUCUUAGCUCGGCACGCAGGCUCUUUGCUUGGGACGCGGUGUCUUUCCCUGCAGCGCAGGGUUACUCUCUAGUUGUGGUGUACAGGCUUGGUUGCCCCAAGGCAUGUGGGAUCUUAGUCCCUCAACCAGAUAUCAAAUCCUCAUCCCUUACGUUGGAAGGUGGAUUCUUAACCCCUGGACCACCAGGGAAGCCUGAAAUCUACCCCUACUGCUAGGUCUUGAGGGCCAAGAACCAGCUGCCUGCUGUCUGCAGAGGUACCCUCAACUCGCCCCUUCAUCUGUGGCCUCCAGACCAGCAGUAAUUUUCGAGUCUCUUUCUUUUAAAACUGACUUUGCCAAUUUCCCCCUUACAGGUGUUUUUGGAUAUUCCUUCAGGCUGUCAGCCUGGACAGGCCAAGGAGGUGGAAUCCAGAGAGCUGGAUGCUUAUUACAAGCAUUCAGUUAGUGAAGUUGGAACAAUGCGACCCCCGAUGUUCGAUUCAUGCCUGGAGGCUUCAAGACACCCUCCCCCACCUCAAACCUUGAGUGGCCUUUUCCAUAUUUAUUGAUACCUAACCAACCAGAUACUUCGAACAUAGCCCAUAUUUGGUAUAACAAUUCGAUAUCUGCCCAGUCCCCAAAGUGCCUUCUCAACAAAUGUUUGUCCCAAUGUUCCAGUGUAUUUAAAAGAUUUACAUCCUUCUUUCACUCGGGAAGGGCAGAUUCAGCCUUCCCAGCCUGAGAAUCCUGCCUUGGCAAAGGGGAAGGCCUCCAGCAGGAAGAUUUUGAUACAUCACUUAUCAAGGAGGACCAGAGCCUUGCCCGAGGGCUCACAGGCUCCCCGCUUCCCAGCAGAGGGCAGCUCCAGAUCUUAGCUGACCGCAUCCCAGCCCUGCCUCCCUCUGACCCCUGAUGCAGUUAUCUGUUGUCAGAAUAGCGGGAGAGCCCAGGCUGAGAAGAAACAACCAACAAAAAGGAUCUUUAAGGCUGAAGGACAAUGGCUGCAGCUGGGACUGAGCCUGGGGUCAGAUGAUUCUCUAUCCCCAUCCUGGAGCCUGGACUCCGGGUUCAAGUGCGCUUCAUGCCUUACUAGCCGAGCGACCUCAUGUGUNNNNNNNNNNNNNNNNNNNNNNNNNNNNNNNNNNNNNNNNNNNNNNNNNNNNNNNNNNNNNNNNCAGGCUCCUCUGUCCAUGGAAUUUCCCAGGCAAGAAUCCUGGAGUGGGUUAUCAUUUCCUCCUCCAGGGGAUCUUCCUGACCCAGGGAUCGAACACACGUCUCCUGUGUCUCCUGCAUUGCCGGCAGAGUCUUUGCCCAGAGCCACGGUGAGUGACCUCGUACAAGACACCUAGUGCCCCUCCCAGCCCUGGUUUCUCCUGUCUCAUCAGGACAUGGUUCGUAGAGCUGUGGCAAGCCCGGCAUACAGUAGGAGCUCAAUGGGUGCAGAUGUCGUGCCGUCAUUUUUGCCCCUCUGGGGUGUCAAGUCCCUCACCUACUGAAGAGACAGAAGGGCUGUGAGUUUCCAGGGUUGCUGGGCUUGGAUUCUGUAAGGCUCAGAAAGGAGAGUGUUUCGUAAUUGCAUGGUGCUUUGAUCAAGUAAGUGGUAAUUACUCCUGGGUGCGGACAGAGACCUACCUUCUGAAAGAAUCUUUUCCUUUGGCUCCUACCCUUCUUGGCAAAUUGCUGCUGCGCAGAGGGUGGGCCCAGCCCCUAACUCUCCAGAGCGGGGCUCCCCAGUGCCUAAAGGUCAUCAGCUCUGAGCCCUGGGAUUCUCUGGGGUCAGGAGGGACAAGAGCCAGGUUUGGAAACAGAGUCUCGCCCCUGGGAAGAUCAAGCUGGCACGCCCCCCAGCAUCCUGAAGGCCCCACCAGCUCCAUUUGGCCUGCCAUUCCUGAUGAUGACAGAUACGGACUCCGCUGGUUCCCUGGAGGCUCUGGGCCUCCACUUCCUGAGAAGCGGGAUGAGCCAUCCCUCUCACUCCCCGCAGGCCCUCUGGAACCCCUCUUCCUC
rnacentral:lncRNA from 1 species